rnacentral:tRNA from 1 species
GAGCAUGUAACUCAGUGGAUAGAGUAUCAGAUUCCGGUUCUAAUAGUCGUAGGUUCGAAUCCUACCAUGCUUA